GUUUGUAUGGUAAAAGUGUUGUAUGUUUAGAGCAGCAUUUGUGUGUACACUGUAGCCUAACAUGCUGAUUUUUAGAGAGACUUGAUGUUGUAUUUCAUAUUCCUUUGGUUUUGACCUGACCUUAAGUAUCCCUGAAAUGUAUAUUUUUCACUUGUUUUGUAUUGUUCCAUUCAGGCAUAAUGCCACUACUGUCAGCAUCCCAGAAGUAAUGCCACUACUGCUUUUGGCCAAAACGCCAGGCCAAAAUGAGGUCUCCUUAAAGAAAACUCCACUUUGCAGUCAGGUCACACCUUGAUUGACCAAAUGCAAUAAAAACUCCUUUAUUACCAUUGUUGGGCCAUAUUUGGUCAAUGGUUUCACUGAGACUUUGUCUUUUUCGGGACUUGGUUAGGCUGACGGGAAAAAGACUGUCUGAGAAGACCGGCUGUCCCUAGACAGAGCCUUUGUCUCUUUGACCUCCACCCUCAGUUUUCCUGGGAGUGCCAUAUGUAAUGUCAUAUGUCACUUAGUCUACCAUGAGACUUCUGCAAAACAGUGUCAGGCUGAUGUUGUCCUCCCCUGUGGGACAGAGCUGUAGUCACUUUGAUAAGGUUUCCUUUGCCUAGUGGUCCCUAGACCUACUCUAGGGCUUUGUCAUAGCACGUGUGUUAAAUGUGAUUUUUGCAUUGUAGAAAUAUUAAAAGGGGAGUUUUUACAUGUUGCCUUAUUGUCACUUAUUAUUGUCACUCUGGGGUAGGUGAUCCCCAAAGGUGUAGGAAAUUGCUACGGUCAACAAGGCUUUAUGAAAAGUGUUUAAGCACAUAAUAAAAAUCUAAACAUUUCCUCCAAACCAACUCUCAUCUCCAACUAAUCAACUAAUCAUUAUUUCUGAAUAAUGCCUCUGCAAAUAAAUAUUUCCAUUACACCAUGUUUGCAUGAUACAAAGAUGCAAAUAUGGUUUUAUGGAAUAGUGUUUUUUUUUCUGCAAAGAAUUCAGAGGGAUAUUAUCCAGAAUAAGAUUUGAAUGUACUUAGGGUUUGUUUGGAGCACUUUAGAGCAUUUUACAACAUGUUUAGACACGUUUUUACAUUUCAGUCAAUGGAAAGUGAUGACUCCAUGAUACAACCAUUUCUCUGUAACGAAACAAUUUAUGUAGAAAACUAUUUUGGGGAUCAACUUCAAGCCCACGAAGAGUGACAAGGCCUUGUAAAAAUGGGUGGAGAUCCCUUUUAUUUGUAACAGUACUAACACUGGCUGAUUAUGACGUUGACAAUGCUAACAGUGUGGAUAUUCAAGUUGUAAACACUGAAGUUUUAAUAAGGUACUUAUUAGUGUAUUUGUAGCAGGCUUUUCCCCUCAAUAAAAAACACUGACCCAUCCC
ensembl:lncRNA